UACAGAGGGUGCAAGCGUUGUUCGGAAUCACUGGGCGUAAAGCGCGCGCAGGCGGAUGGUUGCGUCCGGAGUGAAAUUUCGCCGCUCAACGGCGAAGCUGCUUUGGAUACGGACCGUCUAGGGACCGGUAGAGGCUGGUAGAAUUGCAGGUGUAGCGGUGAAAUGCGCAGAUAUCAGGAGGAACACCAGCGGCGAAGGCGGCGCUCUGGGCCGGAACUGACGCUGAGGAGCGAAAGCGUGGGGAGCGAACAGG
rnacentral:rRNA from 1 species